GACCCCGUAGUUCAACGGAUAGAAUAAGGCACUCCUAAGGCUUAGAUACAGGUUCGAUUCCUGUCGGGGCCACCA
rnacentral:tRNA from 1 species